rnacentral:rRNA from 1 species
GACAGGGGGUGCAAACGUUGUUCGGAAUUACUGGGCGUAAAGCGAGUGUAGGCGGUCUGAAAAGUCGGGCGUGAAAGCCCCGGGCUCAACCCGGGAAGUGCACUCGAAACUGCCAGGCUAGAGUAUCGGAGAGGUUGGGGGAAUUCUCGGUGUAGAGGUGAAAUUCGUAGAUAUCGAGAGGAACGCCGGUGGCGAAGGCGGCCAACUGGACGAAUACUGACGCUGAGGCUCGAAAGCGUGGGGAGCUAACAGG